rnacentral:rRNA from 1 species
AGAGAUCUGGAGGAAUACCGGUGGCGAAGGCGGCCCCCUGGACGAAGACUGACGCUCAGGUGCGAAAGCGUGGGGAGCAAACAGGAUUAGAUACCCUGGUAGUCCACGCCGUAAACGAUGUCGACUUGGAGGUUGUGCCCUUGAGGCGUGGCUUCCGGAGCUAACGCGUUAAGUCGACCGCCUGGGGAGUACGGCCGCAAGGUUAAAACUCAAAUGAAUUGACGGGGGCCCGCACAAGCGGUGGAGCAUGUGGUUUAAUUCGAUGCAACGCGAAGAACCUUACCUGGUCUUGACAUCCACGGAAGUUUUCAGAGAUGAGAAUGUGCCUUCGGGAAC